rnacentral:rRNA from 1 species
UGUUUCGGCAAGGGGGUCAUCCCGACUUACCAACCCGAUGCAAACUGCGAAUACCGGAGAAUGUUAUCACGGGAGACACACGGCGGGUGCUAACGUCCGUCGUGAAGAGGGAAACAACCCAGACCGCCAGCUAAGGUCCCAAAGUCAUGGUUAAGUGGGAAACGAUGUGGGAAGGCCCAGACAGCCAGGAUGUUGGCUUAGAAGCAGCCAUCAUUUAAAGAAAGCGUAAUAGCUCACUGGUCGAGUCGGCCUGCGCGGAAGAUGUAACGGGGCUAAACCAUGCACCGAAGCUGCGGCAGCGACGCUUAUGCGUUGUUGGGUAGGGGAGCGUUCUGUAAGCCUGUGAAGGUGUGCUGUGAGGCAUGCUGGAGGUAUCAGAAGUGCGAAUGCUGACAUAAGUAACGAUAAAGCGGGUGAAAAGCCCGCUCGCCGGAAGACCAAGGGUUCCUGUCCAACGUUAAUCGGGGCAGGGUGAGUCGACCCCUAAGGCGAGGCCGAAAGGCGUAGUCGAUGGGAAACAGGUUAAUAUUCCUGUACUUGGUGUUACUGCGAAGGGGGGACGGAGAAGGCUAUGUUGGCCGGGCGACGGUUGUCCCGGUUUAAGCGUGUAGGCUGGUUUUCCAGGCAAAUCCGGAAAAUCAAGGCUGAGGCGUGAUGACGAGGCACUACGGUGCUGAAGCAACAAAUGCCCUGCUUCCAGGAAAAGCCUCUAAGCAUCAGGUAACAUCAAAUCGUACCCCAAACCGACACAGGUGGUCAGGUAGAGAAUACCAAGGCGCUUGAGAGAACUCGGGUGAAGGAACUAGGCAAAAUGGUGCCGUAACUUCGGGAGAAGGCACGCUGAUAUGUAGGUGAAGUCCCUUGCGGAUGGAGCUGAAAUCAGUCGAAGAUACCAGCUGGCUGCAACUGUUUAUUAAAAACACAGCACUGUGCAAACACGAAAGUGGACGUAUACGGUGUGACGCCUGCCCGGUGCCGGAAGGUUAAUUGAUGGGGUCAGCGCAAGCGAAGCUCUUGAUCGAAGCCCCGGUAAACGGCGGCCGUAACUAUAACGGUCCUAAGGUAGCGAAAUUCCUUGUCGGGUAAGUUCCGACCUGCACGAAUGGCGUAAUGAUGGCCAGGCUGUCUCCACCCGAGACUCAGUGAAAUUGAACUCGCUGUGAAGAUGCAGUGUACCCGCGGCAAGACGGAAAGACCCCGUGAACCUUUACUAUAGCUUGACACUGAACAUUGAGCCUUGAUGUGUAGGAUAGGUGGGAGGCUUUGAAGUGUGGACGCCAGUCUGCAUGGAGCCGACCUUGAAAUACCACCCUUUAAUGUUUGAUGUUCUAACGUUGACCCGUAAUCCGGGUUGCGGACAGUGUCUGGUGGGUAGUUUGACUGGGGCGGUCUCCUCCUAAAGAGUAACGGAGGAGCACGAAGGUUGGCUAAUCCUGGUCGGACAUCAGGAGGUUAGUGCAAUGGCAUAAGCCAGCUUGACUGCGAGCGUGACGGCGCGAGCAGGUGCGAAAGCAGGUCAUAGUGAUCCGGUGGUUCUGAAUGGAAGGGCCAUCGCUCAACGGAUAAAAGGUACUCCGGGGAUAACAGGCUGAUACCGCCCAAGAGUUCAUAUCGACGGCGGUGUUUGGCACCUCGAUGUCGGCUCAUCACAUCCUGGGGCUGAAGUAGGUCCCAAGGGUAUGGCUGUUCGCCAUUUAAAGUGGUACGCGAGCUGGGUUUAGAACGUCGUGAGACAGUUCGGUCCCUAUCUGCCGUGGGCGCUGGAGAACUGAGGGGGGCUGCUCCUAGUACGAGAGGACCGGAGUGGACGCAUCACUGGUGUUCGGGUUGUCAUGCCAAUGGCACUGCCCGGUAGCUAAAUGCGGAAGAGAUAAGUGCUGAAAGCAUCUAAGCACGAAACUUGCCCCGAGAUGAGUUCUCCCUGACUCCUUGAGAGUCCUGAAGGAACGUUGAAGACGACGACGUUGAUAGGCCGGGUGUGUAAGCGCAGCGAUGCGUUGAGCUAACCGGUACUAAUGAACCGUGAGGCUUAACCUUACAACGCCGAAG